GUGAGGAAUUUUCCGCAAUGGGCGAAAGCCUGACGGAGCAAUGCCGCGUGAAGGAUGAAGGCCUAUGGGUUGUAAACUUCUUUUCUCAGAAAAGAAUUAUGACGGUAUCUGAGGAAUAAGCAUCGGCUAACUCUGUGCCAGCAGCCGCGGUAAGCCAGAGGAUGCAAGCGUUAUCCGGAAUGAUUGGGCGUAAAGCGUCUGUAGGUUGUUUAAAAAGUAUUCUGUCAAAGAUUAGGGCUUAACCCUAGAUAGGCAGAAUAAACUUUUAAGCUAGAGUUUGGUAGAGGCAGAGGGAAUUCCCGGUGGAGCGGUGAAAUGCGUAGAUAUCGGGAGGAACACCAAAGGCGAAGGCACUCUGCUGGGCCAAUACUAACACUGAGAGACGAAAGCGAGGGGAGCAAAUGGGAUUAGAAACCCGUGUAGUCC
rnacentral:rRNA from 1 species